CGUCUUCGGAGGUACUCGAGCGGCGAACGGGUGAGUAACACGUGAGUAACCUGCCCUUGACUUUGGGAUAACUUCAGGAAACUGGGGCUAAUACCGGAUAGGAGCUCCUGCUGCAUGGUGGGGGUUGGAAAGUUUCGGCGGUUGGGGAUGGACUCGCGGCUUAUCAGCUUGUUGGUGGGGUAGUGGCUUACCAAGGCUUUGACGGGUAGCCGGCCUGAGAGGGUGACCGGCCACAUUGGGACUGAGAUACGGCCCAG
rnacentral:rRNA from 1 species